rnacentral:piRNA from 1 species
UACGAUACUGGCAGUGAGUGGUGGCC